rnacentral:lncRNA from 1 species
AGUUUAUAUGGUUCAGUAUUUUUAUUACAUUGGAAUAUGUGGACUUUCAUGAAUGUAAUAAAAGGAUUUCUGGAUUUGGUAAAAUAAAAGGUUUUCUACCCCUCGUGGUAGCUUUUAUAAAAGAUAAAAGUUUUCGCGUAUGGAACAGUUUUCAAAAGAUUUUUCGUGGACUUUUGUUUAAACAUCGAAUGUAAAACUACGGUGUGAAUGGUGAAUGUAUGAAGGUAUAGCUAUCUGUAUAUUCAUUUAGUUGUGGUUGUAUACUGUUUGUACUUUUGUACUUGUGCGACGCCGUGUAAAUAUAGGGGAGACUCUGUCCGUGUGAACAGUGGAUUCCCUGUAUUUGUGGCGGAUCUGGCAUACUCUGGGGUCAGGUUUUCAAAAAAAAAAAAUUUAAACGCUUUUCCGCUGUGUUUCAAACUAAAAGGGGACCCCGGGGCGUGAUAGCUUUUCAUGGUAUUAGGAGUCUUAAUACCUAAAAUCUGCAAUUUAGAUCUUUUUAGAAGGUAAUUACACAAUAGUUAACAUUAUCCUCAUUCUGAAAUUAAGGUCAAUUUACCCCAAAUUUCAUUCCUAACUAGUGAAGAUAUCCGCGUGUUGCAGCGGAUCGAUUCUAUAAUAAAAAAUGAUUAAAAGAAGCUGAAGACAAAAGAAAUAGUAAAAGCAUAAGAAGAAUAAGAAAAAAGUUGAAUAACAAAAAAAAUAAAAGUAGAAACAACUGAAGCAGCAAUAAUAGGGAUAGAUAUAACGAAAUUUAGAAUUGUAGAAGUUGAAAAAAAAACUGCAAAAGUUGG